rnacentral:ncRNA from 20 species
UGGGGCGAGCGAGGGAGCCCGGCGAGUAGUUGAGGCGGGCUGAGAGGCCAAGGGCGUGCAGAGCCGACGGUCAGUAGGCCGAUCGGGCGGCAAGCCGGAUGGCGACCUCCAACACCUGAUCCGGACAAUGCCGGCGAAGGAAGCCCACCUCGCAGGUUC